GAUGAACGCUGGCGGCGUGCCUAACACAUGCAAGUCGAACGAAAAGACGAGGAGCUUGCUCCUCUGACGUUAGCGGCGGACGGGUGAGUAACACGUGGAUCACCUACUUCUUAGACGGGGAUGACAUCGGGAAACCGGUGCUAAUAACGGAGAAUAUAUUGUACCGGAUAGUUCAAUAGUGCAUGACGGCUUUGCUGUUUCAUAUAGAUGGUUCCGCGCCGCAUUAGCUAGUUGGUAAGGUAACGGCUUACCAAGGCUACGAUGCGUAGCCGACCUGAGAGGGUGAUCGGCCACACUGGAACUGAGACACGGUCCAGACUCCUACGGGAGGCAGCAGUAGGGAAUCUUCGGCAAUGGGCGAAAGCUUGACGGAGCAACGCCGCGUGAGUGAUGAAGGUCUUCGGAUUGUAAAACUCUGUUAUUAGGGAAGAACAGAUGUGUAAGUAACUAUGCACGUCUUGACGGUACCUAAUCAGAAAGCCACGGCUAACUACGUG
rnacentral:rRNA from 1 species